AGAGUUUGAUCAUGGCUCAGAACGAACGCUGGCGGCGUGGAUAAGACAUGCAAGUCGAGCGAGAUUUUUUCUUGUAGCAAUACAGGGAAAAGUCUAGCGGCGAACGGGUGCUUAACACGUGGGCAACCUGCCAUGAAGUGGGGGAUAGCUCGCCGAAAGGCGAAUUAAUACCGCAUGUGAUUAGAGAGGACAUCCUUUCGAAAUUAAAGUCGGGGCAACCUGACGCUUCUUGUGGGGCCCGCGGCCUAUCAGCUAGUUGGUGAGGUAACGGCUCACCAAGGCUUUGACGGGUAGCUGGUCUGAGAGGACGACCAGCCACACUGGGACUGAGACACGGCCCAGACACCUACGGGUGGCAGCAGUCGAGAAUUUUUGACAAUGGGGGAAACCCUGAUCGAGCGACGCCGCGUGGAGGAUGAAGGUCUUCGGAUUGUAAACUCCUGUCAUUGGGGAACAAGGUGCAUACGUUAACUGCGUGUGUAUUGAUAGUACCCGAAGAGGAAGGGACGGCUAACUCUGUGCCAGCAGCCGCGGUAAUAC
rnacentral:rRNA from 1 species